rnacentral:rRNA from 1 species
AUGCAUCAUCAUAUAGAUAGCUUAUUUGCAUUGUUCAAAAAACUUUGUAGUCUCAACGAUGAUGCAUACAUGUCAACUAUGGGUGUUGGGUCCAACAAUUCGCAUUGGUCUCAAACCAAUGACAUCCAUUUCGAAGAUCAUGAGUUUGAGGUGGACGAGGAGGGUGAGGGCAUUGUCGACACGCCGAAAGAAAGAGUGGGCAAUUACUCCACCAACGAUGACAAGUUACUAUGAAAUACUUGGUUGCAAGUGUCGAGGGAUCCAUCCAUUGGAGGUGAUCAAAGUAGAGACGCUUAUUGGGGGCGAAUGAAAGAACACUUUGAUGCUCACAACAUGAGUGGAGUUGACCGCUCCGAGAGAUCACUUCGGUCCCGAUGGUCGACAAUCAACUCCGAUUGUCAAAAGUGGGCGGCCGCACAAAAGGCAGUUGACAAGAUUAAACCAAGUGGCACAAAUGAGGAUGAUAGAGUAAGUGGCAUCUCAUACAUGUUCAUCAUACUUGUUUUUGGUGUCUGA